UAGGUAAUGUAUAAUAUAUUAUAUUUCAAUUUUCGCGCGGCUCAAGCAUAUAGAAAACAGCAGCGCUUCAACCAAUCAGAAAACCAUUGAACUUUAAUGGCGGGACAAAUCAGUUCGCGUCAUUGUGCGCAUCAUUGUGCGCAUUUCGUUAGUCUACAGUUGAAAAGUGUAGUGAUGGGAUUCGUUUCAUGGGUAAAAGUGCGUGAUUAUGUAAAAUUUAUAUUAAUACAGUGUUCGAAUAUAGUUAAUUAAGCUUUGUUUAAGUAAUAUCUGUUUAUUUAUUCAUUAUUAUGUCAAAAUUAAAUAUCUUUGUGAUCAUAGUUUGAUUGAAACAUCAAAAAAAGGAUGGCCUUGAAAAUGUUUAACAGUUUUGUACACACUACGACAAUUAAGAGAUAAUUCGACGAUUUUUGUGCAAACGUAAUUUAUUCUUUUUCCCGCAGAUAUGUAAUUGAUUGCUGAAUUACUUUAAGUGGGAAAAGAAUUUUCAAUGGACGUCAUGAUGAUAAUUCACGUUUUACGGAGGAAAAGUAAAAUUUAAAUUCUUGUAUC